ensembl:lncRNA
GCCGAAGCCAUAACGUCACCCCGGCCACGCCCACUAGGCAACGCCCACUGCAUAGGCCACACCCACUUGACGUCCUGUACGGAGGACGUCGAGUGAACAGGCCAGAGUUCAAUAGGUAGACGGCGCAGCAAGCCACCCGGGCCUUAGCCCGGGGGGCUUGAAGUAGAUCACGGUAUUUUCCUCUCACUCGCGUUAGAAACAAUUCCCUCCGUAUAGCUUCAGUUACCAUACCGAAACAUGCCGACGACUUUAUAAUAAAUGAAGUGAGUUAAAGCAACCCGGGAUUGGACAACUUUCUUCGAGAAUAUGCAACAAUUUGGUGACCCGCGACGUUUGGACGAAAGUCUCGAAAAUCCCGGGGGGCGCGACGCUAAAACAACUUCAACAGGCCACACACGUCUGAGAGUUCUGAGGUGGUAACGGUGGAGCUCAAUGGGAGGCUCCGGGAGAGUACAAUCGCGGGCUCACACGGGGAGUGGUGGCGGUGGGGCUCAUGGGGAGGCCCCGGGAGAGUUGUCAUUCGCGGGCUCACACGGGGAGAAAUCGGGUGGGUCAGUAAGUCAGAAGGUUGAAUUAAUGUAUCGAUUUGAUGUUGACCAACAAAAAACUAGAUAAUUAUAAUAAUAAAUACUGUUCAUGUAAUGG